GUUCUCACUUUAGCAAUACAUAUACUAAAAAUGGGAUGAUACAGAUAAGAUUAGCGUAGCCCUUGGACAAGGAUGACACAUAAAUUCUUGAAGCAUUCCAUUAAAAAAAGAUUUUU
rfam:Pan troglodytes isolate Yerkes chimp pedigree #C0471 (Clint) chromosome X, whole genome shotgun sequence.